rnacentral:rRNA from 1 species
AUACGGAGGGUGCGAGCGUUAAUCGGAAUUACUGGGCGUAAAGCGUGCGUAGGCGGUUUGCUAAGUCAGAUGAGAAAGCCCCGGGCUUAACCUGGGAACUGCAUUUGAUACUGGCAGACUAGAGUAUGAUAGAGGGGGGUAGAAUUCCUGGUGUAGCGGUGAAAUGCGUAGAUAUCAGGAGGAAUACCAGUGGCGAAGGCGGCCCCCUGGAUCAAUACUGACGCUGAGGUACGAAAGCGUGGGGAGCGAACAGGAUUAGAAACCCUAGUAGUCC